GGCGGGGUGUAGCUCGUCAGGCUCAUAACCUGAAGGUCGUAGGUUCAAAUCCUACCCCCGCAA
rnacentral:tRNA from 1 species